rnacentral:rRNA from 1 species
GACAGAGGGUGCAAACGUUGUUCGGAAUUACUGGGCGUAAAGCGCGUGUAGGCGGCCAUCUAAGUCGGGCGUGAAAUCCCACGGCUCAACCCGUGGAAGUGCACUCGAAAACUGGAUGGCUAGAGUCCUGGAGAGGGAAGGUGGAAAUGCUUUGGGUGUAGAGGUGAAAUUCGUAGAAUAGUCAAAGCGGAACACCGGUGGCGAAGGCGGGCCCUUGA